UACACAUGCAAGUCGAACGGCAGCACGGGGGCAACCCUGGUGGCGAGUGGCGAACGGGUGAGUAAUACAUCGGAACGUGUCCUGGAGUGGGGGAUAGCCCGGCGAAAGCCGGAUUAAUACCGCAUACGCUCUAUGGAGGAAAGGGGGGGAUCUUCGGACCUCCCGCUCAAGGGGCGGCCGAUGGCAGAUUAGCUAGUUGGUGGGGUAAAGGCCUACCAAGGCGACGAUCUGUAGCUGGUCUGAGAGGACGACCAGCCACACUGGGACUGAGACACGGCCCAGACUCCUACGGGAGGCAGCAGUGGGGAAUUUUGGACAAUGGGCGCAAGCCUGAUCCAGCAAUGCCGCGUGUGUGAAGAAGGCCUUCGGGUUGUAAAGCACUUUUGUCCGGAAAGAAAACCUCGUGGUUAAUACCCGUGGGGGAUGACGGUACCGGAAGAAUAAGCACCGGCUAACUACGUGCCAGCAGCCGCGGUAAUACGUAGGGUGCAAGCGUUAAUCGGAAUUACUGGGCGUAAGGCGUGCGCAGGCGGUCCGCUAAGACAGAUGUGAAAUCCCCGGGCUUAACCUGGGAACUGCAUUUGUGACUGGCGGGCUAGAGUAUGGCAGAGGGGGGUAGAAUUCCACGUGUAGCAGUGAAAUGCGUAGAGAUGUGGAGGAAUACCGAUGGCGAAGGCAGCCCCCUGGGCCAAUACUGACGCUCAUGCACAAAA
rnacentral:rRNA from 1 species